rnacentral:rRNA from 1 species
AGCUCCAAUAGCGUAUAUUAAAGUUGUUGCGGUUAAAAAGCUCGUAGUUGGAGUUCUGCCCAAGGCCACCUGUCCGCCCCAGUGGUGAGUACGUGGUGGGCCCUGGGCCCUUUCAAGGGGAGCGUAUCUGUACUUUAUUGUGCGGUGCGGGAUCCUUGACUUUUACUUUGAGGAAAUAAGAGUGUUCCAAGCAGGCUCUCGUCGUGCAUAGCUCAGCAUGGAAUAAUAGCAUUGGACCUCGAUUCUAAGCUGUUGGUUGCCAGAAGCGAGGUAAUGAUGAAGAGGGAUAGUUGGGGGCAUUCGUAUUUAACUGUCAGAGGUGAAAUUCUUGGAUUUGUUAAAGACGGACCACUGCGAAAGCAUCUGCCAAAGAUGUUCU